rnacentral:rRNA from 1 species
CGCUGGCGGCACGCCUAACACAUGCAAGUCGAACGAAGUAGCAAUACUUAGUGGCAGACGGGUGAGUAACAUGUAGGUAUCUACCCUUUGGCCUGGAAUAACACGAGGAAACUUGUGCUAAUACUGGAUAAGUCUUUACGGAGAAAGCUUUAUGCACCAUUGGAUGAGCCUGCACUUGAUUAGUUUGUUGGUGGGGUAAUGGCCUACCAAGACUGUGAUCAAUAGCUGAUUUGAGAGGAUGAUCAGCCACAUUGGGACUGAGACACGGCCCAAACUCCUACGGGAGGCAGCAGUGGGGAAUCUUGCACAAUGGAGGAAACUCUGAUGCAGCGAUGCCGCGUGAGUGAAGAAGGCCCUUGGGUUGUAAAGCUCUUUCGUCGGGGAAGAAAAUGACUGUACCCGAAUAAGAAGGUCCGGCUAACUUCGUGCCAGCAGCCGCGGUAAUACGAAGGGACCUAGCGUAGUUCGGAAUUACUGGGCUUAAAGAGUUCGUAGGUGGUUGAAAAAGUUGGUGGUGAAAUCCCAGAGCUUAACUCUGGAACUGCCAUCAAAACUUUUCAGCUAGAGUAUGAUAGAGGAAAGCAGAAUUUCUAGUGUAGAGGUGAAAUUCGUAGAUAUUAGAAAGAAUACCAAUUGCGAAGGCAGCUUUCUGGAUCAUUACUGACACUGAGGAACGAAAGCAUGGGUAGCGAAGAGGAUUAGAUACCCUCGUAGUCCAUGCCGUAAACGAUGUGUGUUAGACGUUGGAAAUUUAUUUUCAGUGUCGCAGCGAAAGCGAUAAACACACCGCCUGGGGAGUACGAC